rnacentral:lncRNA from 1 species
GCAGAUAAAGUGGCAAUGCCAUGUACAGAAGGGGUUAACAUAUUUGAUCUUGUAUGGCGCAAACCACAAGGAAACUUGAGAGCAAACUAGAGAGCAACCUAAAGGAAUUCUGGGAAAUGAAUCAUUGCCUUCAGCUCACAGGGUGGCCUGUCAUGCACCAUGGAAAUGCAGGAUUCCUCCUCUGGAUGUGUCAUCUGAAUGCUUUGAGGAACUGGUAUGCAGAGAGAAGCAGUAUGGUAUUCCCCUCACUCAGCAAACCAGAAGCAGGCAGGUCUCCCCUGAAUGCCGAUGAUGGUCAGAGCGAGUGUGUUUCCUGCUUGGGGAAAUCCCACAUGGAAGCCGCGCUGACAGGGACGGACCAUUCUCAUUGCAAGAACUUCAGUCUCACUUCUCUACACUCAUGGAUGACUUUCUUUUCAGAGAGGGACUCCACCCCUCUCGCCCUCCCAUUUACUUCCUUCCAGGAACCUGUGAGGAAAAAACUGCAGGAAAGAGGACUCCAGUGCUCGGUUGUGAGCGAGCUCAUACAGCAUAAUAUUGUGUUAUUUUCCGAAGCAAUGAUAUUUUAUUAUACUAUUUGGUAUAAUAAUAAAAUAUAUUUUUUUACAGCCCAGUCGAUGGUGGUGUUGAGUUGUUUUUUUUUCUGUUGAGGUCAGCUGGGUCAUCUUCUGCAUGUAGUAAGUUAGUAAAGC